CCCAGGAGGUCCCUCUCCCUUGGGCUCUGUUUAGGGGCUCUGUCCAAAUGGGAUAAGGUGGGCUCUGUUUAUGGCUGUGCCCCUUGAUGUACACUCUCCUUCCACAAUGUUGGAUAGAAAGACAGGACUUGAUAUUCCUACAGUUUCUCAGAGUCCUGUAGACAAUGACUGAGGAGACAAACAAUGCAGGAAGCAUCU